GGCUCUCCCUCUUUUCCUGGUGAUCCCAUUUCACCGGCUGCACCAGCAUCCCCAGGUCUACCUUCGUCACCGUCUCUACCAGGCUCACCUUUUGGACCCAAUAGACCGGGCUCACCCGGUGGACCUGGAAAACCUUGCGGGCCUGCAUGGCCUUUGGGACCCUCAGGUCCAUUAAUCCCACGAAUGCCAGGACUACCAGCUGGACCGGCUUUACCCUCUUCACCUUUAGGACCGACUGCACCGCGUUCUCCCUGAAUUCCGGGGGAUCCAGGAUUUCCAGAAUCACCUUUAUCACCUUGGCGGCCCUCUGGCCCGGGAAGGCCUUGAAUUCCUUCGAUUCCUUUUGGACCUCUUUGGCCUUGCUCACCUGGACUUCCUGCUGGUCCGACUAGACCAGUCGGUCCGUGGUCUCCCAUGUCUCCCUUUAUCCCUGGGGGGCCUGGCAUUCCUUGAGGCCCCAAAGGACCCGCUGGGCCUGGGACGCCCACUGGCCCUUCUUCUCCUUUACUUCCUCGCCG
rnacentral:misc_RNA from 1 species